rnacentral:rRNA from 1 species
CCCUUAGAUGUCCGGGGCCGCACGCGCGCUACACUGAAGGAAUCAGCGUGGCUUUCUCCCUGACCCGAAAGGGUUGGGAAACCCGUUGAAUCUCCUUCGUGAUAGGGAUUGGGGCUUGAAAUUGUUCCCCAUGAACGAGGAAUUCCCAGUAAGCGCGAGUCAUAAGCUCGCGUUGAUUACGUCCCUGCCCUUUGUACACACCGCCCGUCGCUACUACCGAUUGGAUGUUCCGGUGAGCUCUUCGGACUGCGCGGUCUGCAGUUUCUGCGUUCCGUGCGGAAAGUUGCGCAAACCUUAACAUUUAGAGGAAGGAGAAGUCGUAACA